rnacentral:rRNA from 1 species
AUUGAACGCUGGCGGCAUGCCUUACACAUGCAAGUCGAACGGUAACAGGUCUUCGGAUGCUGACGAGUGGCGAACGGGUGAGUAAUACAUCGGAACGUGCCCGAGAGUGGGGGAUAACGAAGCGAAAGCUUUGCUAAUACCGCAUACGAUCUCAGGAUGAAAGCAGGGGACCGCAAGGCCUUGCGCUCACGGAGCGGCCGAUGGCAGAUUAGGUAGUUGGUGGGAUAAAAGCUUACCAAGCCGACGAUCUGUAGCUGGUCUGAGAGGACGACCAGCCACACUGGGACUGAGACACGGCCCAGACUCCUACGGGAGGCAGCAGUGGGGAAUUUUGGACAAUGGGCGCAAGCCUGAUCCAGCAAUGCCGCGUGCAGGAAGAAGGCCUUCGGGUUGUAAACUGCUUUUGUCAGGGAAGAAAUCUUCUGGGCUAAUACCCCGGGAGGAUGACGGUACCUGAAGAAUAAGCACCGGCUAACUACGUG